rnacentral:rRNA from 1 species
AGCGAACGCUGGCGGCAGGCCUAACACAUGCAAGUCGAACGGGCUCUUCGGAGCUAGUGGCGGACGGGUGAGUAACACGUGGGAACGUGCCUUUAGGUUCGGAAUAAGCCCGGGAAACUGGGUCUAAUACCGAAUGUGCCCUUCGGGGGAAAGAUUUAUCGCCUUUAGAGCGGCCCGCGUCUGAUUAGCUAGUUGGUGAGGUAAUGGCUCACCAAGGCGACGAUCAGUAGCUGGUCUGAGAGGAUGACCAGCCACAUUGGGACUGAGACACGGCCCAAACUCCUACGGGAGGCAGCAGUGGGGAAUCUUGCGCAAUGGGCGAAAGCCUGACGCAGCCAUGCCGCGUGGAUGAUGAGGGUCUUAGGAUUGUAAAAUCCUUUCACCGGUGAAGAUAAUGACUGUAGCCGGAGAAGAAUCCCCGGCUAACUUCGUGCCAGCAGCCGCGGUAAGAC